rnacentral:lncRNA from 1 species
UUUAGAUGAGACUUUGGACCUUAGAUUUUAAAGCUGAUAAUGAAAUAAAUUAACACAUUUGGGUCUGUUGGGAUGAAAUGAAUAUACUUUGCAUAUAAGAAGAACCAGGGGUGGAAUGCUGUGGACUGAAUUUUUCUGUCUCCUGAAAAUUCAUAUGUUGAAGCCAUACCACUGAUAUGGCCACAUUUAGAGAUGGGGCCUCUAAGGAAAUAAUUAAGGUUGUGUGAGGUCAUAAGGGUGGGGCCCUGAUCCAAUAGGAUUAGUAUUCUUACAAGAGGACACACAAGAGAAAUCAUGUGCUCUCACUUUCCUCCCUCCUUCUUUGCCUUCUCUCUUUCUCUCUCUCCCUCUCCCUCUCUUUCUGAGCAUGCACAUAAAGAAAAGGCCAUGUGAACACACAGUAAGAAGGCAGCCAUCUGCAAUCCAAGGGAAGAACUUUCACCAGAAACUAAAUUUUUCUGGCAUCUUGAUCAUGAACUUCUAACCUUCAGAACUAUGACAAAAUAAAUUUCUGUUGUUUAAGACACCAAGCCUGGCAUUUUGUUAUGGCAGCCCAAGCAGACUAUGACAACAUUUCAGCCACAUCACUCUUGAAAAUGUGAGGCAGAAUUAUGUCUCUGAGAAGAGACAGUUGCUUUUAGCAGCAUCCAUAAUAUCACCUGCAAUUGCUCAGAAACUACUGUGGCUUUCCAUGCACAUGAAUGUACAUGCACAAGAAUGAAUAAGGGUGUCUAUUUUUACAAAGAAAGUUCUGAUGAAAGAAUAUUUCUGGGGAUCCCUCGGUGGCUCAGUGGUUUAGCGCUGCCUUCAGCCCAGGGCGUGAUCCUGGAGACCCAGGAUUGAGUCCUAUAUCAGGCUUCCUGCCUGGAGCCUGCUUCUCCCUCUGUCUGUCUCUCUGCCUCUCUCUCUCUCUCUCAUGAAUAAAUAAAUAAAAUCUUUAAAAAAAAAGAACAUUUCUUUUUUUUCAUACAAAAUAGAAAUUACCCAGAAAACUGGCUAAACUUUCAACAAAUGCUAAGUUUUGCACCUGACUGCAAUAUAUACUCAGGAAUCUCUUUCUUUCCAUUUAGACUCUGUGUUAUAAAUCCUACAGUCUUAGUAUACCUUUUUUUUUUUCUUAGUAUACCUUCUAAUCCAACCCCAUCCUUAUUAGUGGAAUCCUUUAUCAUCUCUUACCUUGAGAAUUGCUAUGUUCUGCUAACUAACCUCCUGGACUCUCUUUGUCUCCAAACUCAGUCUAAUCCAUCCAUCAUCUAUCCUGAUGAAUACUAUUUCUGAUAAUUUCUUUCC